ACAUUCUCUUUGCCUUUUGGCUUAGAUCAAGUGUAGUAUCUGUUCUUGUCAGUUUAAUUGCUGAUACUCCUACCUCCCCGGUAGGAUCACUGAUUAUUCUAAUAUUUGGACCUCGCGACUUGGCCUCUGUGCUUGCACACGCCUCGUUGCACAGUGUCACUGGGCUCACACUACCCCCGGUCGACGCGACUCUUC
rnacentral:snRNA from 1 species